rnacentral:rRNA from 1 species
UCCUGGCUCAGAACGAACGCUGGCGGCAGGCCUAACACAUGCAAGUCGAGCGCGCCCUUCGGGGUGAGCGGCGGACGGGUUAGUAACGCGUGGGAACGUACCCUUUGGUAGGGAAUAGCCACUGGAAACGGUGAGUAAUACCCUAUGAGCCCUUCGGGGGGAAGAUUUAUCGCCAAAGGAUCGGCCCGCGUUAGAUUAGGUAGUUGGUGGGGUAAUGGCCUACCAAGCCUACGAUCUAUAGCUGGUUUUAGAGGAUGAUCAGCAACACUGGGACUGAGACACGGCCCAGACUCCUACGGGAGGCAGCAGUGGGGAAUCUUGGACAAUGGGGGCAACCCUGAUUCCCAGCCAUGCCGCGUGAGUGAAGAAGGCCUUAGGGUCGUAAAGCUCUUUCGCCUGUGAAGAUAAUGACGGUAGCAGGUAAAGAAACCCCGGCUAACUCCGUGCCAGCCGCUGC